GGGACCCGGGAGACAGUCCAGCGGGCGACGUGCAGCCCACCGCCCGCACCCAGCAGCCCCGGGACCUCCGGCCCGUGACGUCAGCACGCUGACGUCGACGCACAGAGUUCGCAUCUCGCUCGAGGGACCAAAGACCCGACUGGCUCCCGAGCACCUCCGUAGAGGAGCCAACCUAUUGGUCAAAUGACCUGUCAAUCUCCUACUGACCAACUAAUGGAUGCUCCUCUGGCUAAAAGACUCCAAAAUGCUAAAUUCCUGGGCAUGGCAGGACAAAGGCUGGUCAUCUCCCAUUUGCCUCCACCUCCCUUCUUGAUAAAUGACUGCCGGCUGCAGACUGGCUUCAACUGGUCUCCAGAGGAUGCACAGUUCCUGGACUUUUCCCUACAUUUCACCUUUUACCAUGUAGGACCUAUUUAUAAUGCAUUAAAAUGUUAAAUCUCCAUCCCCAAAAGAACAUGGGUCAUUUGUCACCAUAUGUCUCAGACACAUAAUAUGCAUAUGUUUGGUGCUUUUCAUGAAUAUUCAUAAUAUGUUCCUAUAUCCUGUUGAAUAUGUAUGUUCUGCCUCCCAAUUUAGCAUUAAUACCCACUUCUUUCUCUCAUUUGAAUCAUGGCUUUACAUUCUAGGUUGGAGGCUCGCUUUCCACCUGCAGGAUAUAACCCCCUUAGAAAUAAAGUUAUCCUUUGCAUUUGCUGGCAUUGUGACUCUUUUUUAGUUACAUACAUACCUCAUUUCAUUGUUGACCCAAUCUGAGUGUGGCAUAAAACAUCCUCUUUUUAGACCUGUGAUGCUAAUUUAAGACAUUGAUUUUACGUUCAUCUAUUCAGUUAACAGAAGAGCCUAAAUUCAAGUGAGGGCACCGCUUUCAAUGCAAUAAGACAGUCCUUGCAGUCCCCCUUCUAAAACAACUAAUUUGAAUACAUUGCCUAAGCAAACCUUUUAAAGUUUCAUAUGUUGUAAAUUAGGAAAGCAGUGGAACAUAACGCCAUAAAAGCAUUCCCAGAACUUGAGAAUGAAAAAUCAUCUUAUAAAGAAAGAAGCAGAGUCCUAAAAUGAGAACCUGAGACUAAAGUCAUAGAUUCACCAACUUCAUAGCUGCCAAAACUCUAGAACCCAUUCUGACUUUUAUUUUUUCUUCUUUAAGUGACGAAAUAUUUCAAACACAUAGAAAAGAGUAGAGAAGAAUGAACAUUCUUCACAUGAAGUGUUGCCCUAUUUUAGUAAAAAUCUUUCAACCUGAAUUUUAGAGCCCUGUAUACCCCUCACUGAUUAUUUCUUUCUUCCUCCUCAGAGUUAACAUCCUUCUCAGCUUACUGCUCAUCAUUUUCUGACAGUUUUUGUUUGCUUGUUUGUUUGUUUGUUUGAGACGGAAUCUCACUGUGUUGCCAGACUGGAGUGCAGUGGCGGGAUCUCAGCUCACUGCAACCUCCACCUCCCAGGUUCAAGUGAUUCUCCUGCCUCAGCCUCCCGAGUAGCUGGGACUCCAGCGCCUGCCACCACACCCAGCUAAUUUUUGUAUUUUUGGUAGAGAUGGGGUUUCACCAUCUUGGCCAAGAUGGUCUCGAUCUCUUGACCUCAACAUUUUAAAUAUAAAUGGAGAAGCCCAUGAAAAAGCCAGAAGAAACAGAACAGAAGAAAGAUUAAGGAACGUGGUGUUGUCACAGUGCAUCAUUGAAGUGUUGAAAUGGUUAACAGUGUCAACUUUUAACCAUGCUGUUUUAAGAGGUAUUGUGAGAAUGCUCAGUUUUCAUGUAGGAAGGAAUGAAGGGAAUCGAAGAAUUUAUUCUACCACAAGACAGAAAAGCAUUCAGUCUUUUUCUCUGCCCACAGCCCCUAAAGCACACAAUUAAGUUCUUUCACUUAGAGAAACUUAUGUGACAGUGCCCAGAAUAAAAGAAUUUCAGACUUUAUAAAUCAACUACACAUGAAUAGUCUCUGUGAAAUAGUUCAGAGUACAAUUUCUUCUUAUCUGUUAAUAUUUCCACCUAUAAGAAUAUCACUUCAAAAAACAUUGCUUAUCAAAACUAAACCCUGUACAAACCCUUAGCCACUAUGUUUUGUUGCCUUCUCCAAAAGAAACUUGAGAGUUGAGGUUUGGAGCCAGUUGGAAUUCCAUCAUCAGCACUUCACUGGGCAACAUUGGACAUGUUAUUUAACCACUAUGAGCUUCAGCUUCCUCUCUCUUAAGUGGAAAUAAUAGGUUUGUUUUGAGGAUAAGUCAGUUAAUACAUGUAGUAAGUGCUUAACGAGUUGCAGUAAUGCUAAGACUCUCAUAGAUAUUUUUAAAAUGCCAUUGCUUUUUCUUUUGGUACCUCUUCCUCUCAACAUCUGAAUCCAACUCUUUUAUGUUUGCAACCUAUGGCUUUGGUUUACAUGUACUUAUUUGUAACUGAGUAUUCAUAUAAACAGUGUGAUGUCUCCUUGAUAAAAUUGGGCUCCUGCCCUCCUCAGAACUUUUUUUUUUACUCCCAGCACUUGUAUGGCAUCUCACUCUUAGUAUGUGACACAAUAAUAGACUGAAGAACAAAAUCAUGAUAAUCUUGGCAGAAGAAGAAAAUGUAUAUGAUGAAAUUCAACAUUCAUGAUUUAAGAAAAACACAUACUCUUAGAAAACUAGGUUUAAACAGACCCUCAAUAAUCUGAAAAAGAAUAUCUACAAAAAACACAAAACAACAGAACUUCAGCAAAUGUCAUACUUAGUGAAAAAAC
ensembl:lncRNA